AUGCUGUAUUUCCCUCAUUUCCCUGCUGUUCCUUUCUCAGGCAGCAGCUCAGAUUUGACAGCCACAAUUAUGAAAUCGGCAUACCAAAGGCAAUCUUUUUGUUUCAAAGAGUUUUCUGAUAAAAUGGUUCUUCAAAAUGGGCUUGGAUUUAACUCUCCAUAUCUACCUCUUGCCUCCUGUAUUUUGGAAGGUUUGAAAACCACUGCCAGGCUCUACCGUGAGAAAGAAUAUAAUUCUUGCUGCCUUAGUUUACCCAGUUCUGUUUGA
rnacentral:lncRNA from 1 species